CUGACUGCUAUCGGAUUGAUACUAAGCCAUGCGAGUCAUUGUAGCAAUACAAGGCAUACGGCUCAGUAACGCGUAGUCAACCUAACCUAUGGACGGGGAUAACCUCGGGAAACUGAGAAUAACACCAGAUAGAACAUUAUGCCUGGAAUGGUUUAUGUUUCAAAUAAUUUAUUGCCGUAGGAUGGGACUGCGGCCUAUCAGUUUGUUGGUGAGGUAAUGGCCCACCAAGACUAUUACAGGUACGGGCUCUGAGAGGAGUAGCCCGGAGAUGGGUACUGAGACACGGACCCAGGCCCUAUGGGGCGCAGCAGGCGAGAAAACUUUGCAAUGUGCGAAAGCACGACAAGGUUAAUCCGAGUGGUUUCUGCUAAAGGAACCUUUUGUUAGUCAUAGAACCACUAAUGAAUAAGGGGUGGGCAAGUUCUGGUGUCAGCCGCCGCGGUAAAACCAGCACCUCAAGUGGUCAGGAUGAUUAUUGGGCCUAAAGCAUCCGUAGCCUGCUUUGUAAGUUUUCGGUUAAAUCCAUACGCUCAACGUAUGGGCCGCCGGGAAUACUGCAAAGCUAGGGAGUGGGAGAGGUAGACGGUACUCGGUAGGAAGGGGUAAAAUCCUUUGAUCUAUUGAUGACCACCUGUGGCGAAGGCGGUCUACCAGAACACGUCCGACGGUGAGGGAUGAAAGCUGGGGGAGCAAACCGGAUUAGAUACCCGGGUAGUCCCAGCUGUAAACUAUGCAAACUCGGUGAUGCAUUGGCUUGAUGCCAAUGCAGUGCCGCAGGGAAGCCGUUAAGUUUGCCGCCUGGGAAGUACGUACGCAAGUAUGAAACUUAAAGGAAUUGG
rnacentral:rRNA from 1 species